UACGGGGGGGGCAAGCGUUGUUCGGAAUUACUGGGCGUAAAGGGCUCGUAGGCGGCCAACUAAGUCGGAUGUGAAAUCCCCAGGCUUAACCUGGGAACUGCAUCCGAUACUGGAUGGCUUGAAUCCGGGAGAGGGAUGCAGAAUUCCAGGUGUAGCGGUGAAAUGCGUAGAUAUCUGGAGGAAUACCGGUGGCGAAGGCGGCAUCCUGGACCGGCAUUGACGCUGAGGAGCGAAAGUGUGGGGAGCGAACAGG
rnacentral:rRNA from 1 species